rnacentral:rRNA from 1 species
AUUGAACGCUGGCGGCAUGCCUUACACAUGCAAGUCGAACGGUAACAGGUCUUCGGAUGCUGACGAGUGGCGAACGGGUGAGUAAUACAUCGGAACGUGCCCGAUCGUGGGGGAUAACGAAGCGAAAGCUUUGCUAAUACCGCAUAAGAUCUACGGAUGAAAGCAGGGGACCGCAGGCCUUGCGCGAACGGAACGGCCGAUGGCAGAUUAGGUAGUUGGUGGGAUAAAAGCUUACCAAGCCGACGAUCUGUAGCUGGUCUGAGAGGACGACCAGCCACACUGGGACUGAGACACGGCCCAGACUCCUACGGGAGGCAGCAGUGGGGAAUUUUGGACAAUGGGCGAAAGCCUGAUCCAGCCAUGCCGCGUGCAGGAUGAAGGCCUUCGGGUUGUAAACUGCUUUUGUACGGAACGAAAAGACUCUUUCUAAUAAAGAGGGUCCAUGACGGUACCGUAAGAAUAAGCACCGGCUAACUACGUGCCAGCCGCCGCCGUAACAC